UACGGAGGGGGCUAGCGUUGUUCGGAAUUACUGGGCGUAAAGCGCACGUAGGCGGACCAGAAAGUCAGGGGUGAAAUCCCGGGGCUCAACCCCGGAACUGCCCUUGAAACUCCUGGUCUUGAGUUCGAGAGAGGUGAGUGGAAUUCCGAGUGUAGAGGUGAAAUUCGUAGAUAUUCGGAGGAACACCAGUGGCGAAGGCGGCUCACUGGCUCGAUACUGACGCUGAGGUGCGAAAGCGUGGGGAGCAAACAGG
rnacentral:rRNA from 1 species